AAUGACGGCUUUCGGGUUGUAAACUCUUCAGUUGGGGCGAAGCCCUUCGGGGUGACGGUACCUCAGAAGAAGCACCGGCUAACUACGUGCCAGCAGCCGCGGUAAUACGUAGGGUGCGAGCGUUAUCCGGAAUUAUUGGGCGUAAAGAGCUCGUAGGCGGUUUGUCACGUCUGCUGUGAAAGCUCGGGGCUUAACCUCGAGUUUGCAGUGGGUACGGGCAGGCUAGAGUGCAGUAGGGGAGACUGGAAUUCCUGGUGUAGCGGUGAAAUGCGCAGAUAUCAGGAGGAACACCGAUGGCGAAGGCAGGUCUCUGGGCUGUUACUGACGCUGAGGAGCGAAAGCAUGGGGAGCGAACAGGAUUAGAUACCCUGGUAGUCCAUGCCGUAAACGUUGGGCACUAGGUGUGGGGAACAUUUCCACGUUUUCCGCGCCGUAGCUAACGCAUUAAGUGCCCCGCCUGGGGAGUACGGCCGCAAGGCUAAAACUCAAAGGAAUUGACGGGGGCCCGCACAAGCGGCGGAGCAUGCGGAUUAAUUCGAUGCAACGCGAAGAACCUUACCAAGGCUUGACAUGCACUAGAUCGCCCUAGAGAUAGGGUUUCCCUUCGGGGCUGGUGUACAGGUGGUGCAUGGUUGUCGUCAGCUCGUGUCGUGAGAUGUUGGGUUAAGUCCCGCAACGAGCGGAACCCCUAUUCUAUGUUGCCAGCAAUUCGGUUGGGGACUCAUGGAAGACUGCCGGGGUCAACUCGGAGGAAGGUGGGGACGACGUCAAAUCAUCAUGCCCCUUAUGUCUUGGGCUUCACGCAUGCUACAAUGGCCGGCACAAUGGGUUGCGAGACUGUGAGGUUGAGCUAAUCCCAUAAAACCGGUCUCAGUUCGGAUUGGGGUCUGCAACUCGACCCCAUGAAGUCGGAGUCGCUAGUAAUCGCAGAUCAGCACG
rnacentral:rRNA from 1 species